CGCCAUCUCUAACAAGGUCAUUCGUUCAGUAGAUUUUACUGUUCAAUUUUUUCAUUCCGGGGCCUUAAAUGAAAAUCGAUUCUUAAGGAGAAAACUCCAAAAACAGUCAAGUAAAUACGCCAUAUCAGAUAUAGCUCAAAAAGUUCGAGUCAAAUCUCAAUUAUAUUUAAAUGGGACCACAUGAAAAGCACCACCUAUCGAUUAAAAAAAGAAUCAUCGAUAUCGGGCCACCCAGUAAAAUAGUAAUGAGGUUAAUAUAACGUUGGUCGACGUAAAAUAGCCAAGUAAAUACCCAGUAUUAGCGAUAACUCAAAAAUUAAAAGCUCAAAUAUAUUUAUAACGAAUAAACUGCUACUCUCUACUCUAGUGGAAUAUUGUAAUUUGAUCGAUAGUGAACGAAGUAAUUUCAUUAAAUUUUGAUAGAUGGCGUUGUGGCAAAGUAUUGAACAUGACCACAGUCGUCUUAACAUCGUCAUGUAAAUACGUGUCAUCAAAGAUUACUCAAAAAUUGCUCAUUAUAUCUCAAUCAUAUUUAAAACGGACAACAUGACAAGUAUUAGCUUUUGAUUUAUACAAAAAAGAUCAAAAUCAGUGCACCCUGUAAAAAGAUAUAACGUAUAAUACAACGUACGGUGACGAAAAUAAUGUCAAGUAAAUACGCGUUAUCAAAGAUUAAUCAAAAAGUAGUUAUCAGAUCUCGAUAAAAUUUAUAUGUGACCACAUGAUAAACAUCAGCUUUCGAUUAAAGUAAAAAUUAUCAAAAUCGAUACACCCAGUAAAAAGUUAUUGCGGAUUUUCAAGAGUUUCCCUCGAUUUCUCUGAGAUCCCAUCAUCAGAUCCUGGUUUCCUUAUCAUGGUACCAAACUAGGAAUAUCCCCUUUCCAACAAAAAAAGAAUUAUCAAAAUCGGUACACCCAGUAGAAAGUUAUGUGGUGUAAUACAACGUAGGUCGACGAAAAAAGCGUCAAGUAAAAACGCAUUAUUAGAUAUAAUUCGAAAAGUAGUUGUUAGAUCUCAAAUAAAUUUAAAUGGGACCAAUCGGCACACACCACCUUUCGAUUAAAAUAAAACUUGUCGAAAUCGGUCUACCUGGUCAAAAGUUCUGAUGUAACAUACAUAAAAAAAAAUACAGUCGAAUUGAGAACCUCCUCCUUUUUUGGAAGUCGGUUAAAAAGGU
rnacentral:misc_RNA from 1 species